rnacentral:rRNA from 1 species
AUUGAACGCUGGCGGCAGGCUUAACACAUGCAAGUCGAGUGGAGAUGAGGUGCUUGCACCUUAUCUUAGCGGCGGACGGGUGAGUAAUGCUUAGGAAUCUGCCUAUUAGUGGGGGACAACAUUCCGAAAGGAAUGCUAAUACCGCAUACGUCCUACGGGAGAAAGCAGGGGACCUUCGGGCCUUGCGCUAAUAGAUGAGCCUAAGUCGGAUUAGCUAGUUGGUGGGGUAAAGGCCUACCAAGGCGACGAUCUGUAGCGGGUCUGAGAGGAUGAUCCGCCACACUGGGACUGAGACACGGCCCAGACUCCUACGGGAGGCAGCAGUGGGGAAUAUUGGACAAUGGGCGGAAGCCUGAUCCAGCCAUGCCGCGUGUGUGAAGAAGGCCUUUUGGUUGUAAAGCACUUUAAGCGAGGAGGAGGCUACUAGUACUAAUACUACUGGAUAGUGGACGUUACUCGCAGAAUAAGCACCGGCUAACUCUGUGCCAGCCGCCGCCGUAACAC